ACCAACGCCAGACACCGAGACAACGCCGGGGCGGAGGGUACGAUGGAGAAUUUCACGGCACUGUUCGGGGCUCAGGCUGACCCACCACCGCCCCCAACCGCACUCGGCUUCGGACCAGGAAAGCCUCCACCCCCGCCACCGCCUCCUCCGGGCGGGGGACCCGGCACGGCCCCGCCUCCCACCGCGGCCACGGCCCCUCCUGGCGCGGACAAGUCUGGAGCUGGCUGUGGCCCUUUUUACCUCAUGAGGGAACUGCCAGGUAGCACAGAGCUGACAGGCAGCACGAAUCUGAUCACACACUACAACUUGGAACAAGCCUAUAAUAAAUUCUGUGGGAAGAAGGUGAAGGAGAAGCUAAGUAACUUCCUGCCUGACCUGCCAGGGAUGAUUGAUCUGCCUGGUUCCCAUGAUAACAGCAGCCUCCGCUCUCUCAUUGAGAAGCCCCCUAUUCUCAGUAGCUCUUUUAAUCCUAUCACAGGGACCAUGCUGGCCGGCUUCCGCCUCCACACUGGCCCGGUGAGUCCUGUUGAAGAAGGCAAAUGGGGAGGCCUAAACAUGGAGAUGGUUUUUCUCUCCAAGUCUGUUCCUUCAUAAUGGAGCAGAAUGGACGAUAGGAGCAGGAGAGAUUUCCUCCCUCUACUCACCCGGACCUUCCUUUGGUUCCUUCAGUUGCCGGAGCAGUGUCGUCUGAUGCAUAUUCAGCCUCCCAAGAAGAAGAAUAAGCACAAGCACAAAC
rnacentral:sRNA from 1 species